CAGGGAGACAACAAAAUGUUUAAUAUUAUUAUUUUGUCACCUUAGGUCGAUCGGUAUCUCACGUUUUUAAUUUAUUAAGAAUUUCAUUUCCUAAGUUUUUCUAGGUCACACCCAUUAUUUUUCCUGGGCCAUUAGCUCAGGUGGUUAGAGCGCACCCCUGAUAAGGGUGAGGUCCCUGGUUCAAGUCCAGGAUGGCCCAUAUCUCUAUGUUGGGGGUAUAGCUCAGUUGGUAGAGCGCCUGCUUUGCAAGCAGGAUGUCAGCGGUUCGAGUCCGCUUACCUCCACUGAUCACCACCUCUUCCAUAAUCGGUUGAAAGGAAAUUUUUUGAAUUGUGAUCAAAUUCUGAAAGAAUCUAGCUUCCUAAUGAAAUCAUUAAGAUGCUGGACUCAUUGAAUUAAUUUCAUUGUUUUCAGAGAACCUUGACAACUGCAUAGAUUAUUUUUAAAGACAAUAAGCAUCUUUAAUGAUGCAGAUUUAUUAUUUGUGCAAAUGCAUUAAUAACAAUUCUAUUAAGCUGAUGCUUCAAUAUUUGAAGUUAUU
rnacentral:tRNA from 1 species